CAGACCCACGGGAAGGCGAGUCGGAUUCCUUUGGGGAGCGAUGUCUGAAACUGGAUCCGGAUCCACGCUUGCUGACAGUCCCGGGGGGGGUCUGCGGACCCACGCCGGGUUUUGUAGCUGGGUCUGGUCCCGGGGGGUUUGGUCCCGGUUCCACGAGGGAUUUUACAGAUGAGUUUGGUCACGGGGGAGUUUGGUCCCGGGGGGAUUUGGUCCAUGUUCCGUGCCGCGUUUUGCACCUCUGCUUGUACCCGGUCGGAGCCUUGGGGUUCCGUUCCUGCUCCCAGACACACACGGGGUUUUGCCACCCGAUUUGCCCCCCUGGAAGGUUCGCUCCCGCUCCCGCUCCAACUGCCGCUCCCAGCUCCACGUAGAAUUUUGUAGCCCGUAAGCGCUCAGGUCCCGCCCAGGUGUGGGGGGAGCAGCAGGGAGCAGA